rfam:Pelodiscus sinensis unplaced genomic scaffold scaffold2737, whole genome shotgun sequence.
CCAAAGGCUCUUUUAAGAGCCACCCAACUUCUCCUAUCAGAGCUA